ACUGCUUGGGCAAAGAGAUAAAGCUACAAGUGUAGCAGUUCCUGCGGUUGCGAGGGAAAGUACCCGGGGAGGGGGUGGUUUGGGUGGAAAGGGACGAACUGACCAGGGAGUUGGGGAAGGAACGGUCUCUGCG